AACGAACGCUGGCGGCAUGCCUAACACAUGCAAGUCGAACGAGACCUUCGGGUCUAGUGGCGCACGGGUGCGUAACGCGGGGGAACCUGCCCUUAGGUUCGGAAUAACUCCCCGAAAGGGGUGCUAAUACCGGAUAAUGUCUUCGGACCAAAGAUUUAUCGCCUUUGGAUGGGCCCGCGUUGGAUUAGCUAGUUGGUAGGGUAAAAGCCUAUCAAGGCGACGAUCCAUAGCUGGUCUGAGAGGAUGAUCAGCCACACUGGGACUGAGACACGGCCCAGACUCCUACGGGAGGCAGCAGUGGGGAAUAUUGGACGACGGGCGAAAGCCUGAUCCAGCCAUGUCGCGUGAGUGAUGAAGGCCUUAGGGUUGUAAAGCUCUUUUACCCGGGCUGAUAAUGACGGUACCGGGAGAAUAAGCGCCGGCUAACUCCGUG
rnacentral:rRNA from 1 species